rnacentral:rRNA from 1 species
AUUGAACGCUGGCGGCAGGCCUAACACAUGCAAGUCGAGCGGAUGAAGGGAGCUUGCUCCUGGAUUCAGCGGCGGACGGGUGAGUAAUGCCUAGGAAUCUGCCUGGUAGUGGGUGAUAACGUCCGGAAACGGGCGCUAAUACCGCAUACGUCCUGAGGGAGAAAGUGGGGGAUCUUCGGACCUCACGCUAUCAGAUGAGCCUAGGUUGGAUUAGCUAGUUGGUGGGGUAAAGGCCUACCAAGGCGACGAUCCGUAACUGGUCUGAGAGGAUGAUCAGUCACACUGGAACUGAGACACGGUCCAGACUCCUACGGGAGGCAGCAGUGGGGAAUAUUGGACAAAGGGCGAAAGCCUGAUCCAGCCAUGCCGCGUGUGUGAAGAAGGUCUUCGGAUUGUAAAGCACUUUAAGUUGGGAGGAAGGGCAGUAAGUUAAUACCUUGCUGUUUUGACGUUACCAACAGAAUAAGCACCGGCUAACUUCGUG